CCCUGUCUCUGUCACUCUGGGGAAGAGGAGUUGGGGGAAGGAGAACCUACUGCCUGCUUCACUGUAUUGUCCCUAUUGUUUUGCAGAGAAUAAAAGCCCGCGAAUACAUCGUCAUCCCGUGUCACGUCAGUCACUCAAAAACAGCAAAUCACAACGCAGAGUGUAUUCCACCGAUCACACUGGCAAUCGAAUGCUUACUGCAUAUGAACCCCUUCCCAGACAGCACACAUACAUCUGCCCGAUGUCGGUUUCAGAUCAGCAUGGAAUCCUCCCGUAUAAUAAUGUCGCAGGAGUAUCGGGCUGAAGUCGCUUCCAUGAGAAGAACCUGAUUUUUGGGGGAACAUUUUCUAACAGCAAUUUUUCAUCCUUCAGACUUUUUUAAACAUUAAAUAAAAUGAAUUGAAAAUA